GACGAACGCUGGCGGCGUGCUUAACACAUGCAAGUCGAACGGUAAGGCCCUUCGGGGUACACGAGUGGCGAACGGGUGAGUAACACGUGGGUGAUCUGCCCUGCACUUCGGGAUAAGCCUGGGAAACUGGGUCUAAUACCGGAUAGGACCACUGCCUGCAUGGGUGGCGGUGGAAAGCUUUUGCGGUGUGGGAUGGGCCCGCGGCCUAUCAGCUUGUUGGUGGGGUGAUGGCCUACCAAGGCGACGACGGGUAGCCGGCCUGAGAGGGUGACCGGCCAAACUGGGACUGAGAUACGGCCCAGACUCCUACGGGAGGCAGCAGUGGGGAAUAUUACACAAUGGGCGCAAGCCUGAUGCAGCGACGCCGCGUGAGGGAUGACGGCCUUCGGGUUGUAAACCUCUUUCAGCACCGACGAAGCGCAAGUGACGGUAGGUGCAGAAGAAGGACCGGCCAACUACGUGCCAGCAGCCGCCGUAA
rnacentral:rRNA from 1 species